UAUGAUGAUGGGUGUCUCUAACUAUAUUUGCUGGAUUGAACCACUACUGUGAGCUUUAAUUUUUAGUUUCUCAACUCUCUCUCAUGCGGGCAAAUGCAGUGACAUAAACAUCAGAUAAUGGACUUUUCAGNGGAAGUCCGUAUUCCCUAUUGGGAGCGUCUUUGGGGCGCCGCUUCUCGUCUCAAGUCCAUCCUCGAAGGCCAUUCUGGGUCCUCUCUUCUUCAACCCAAAACCUCAGACCCUAACUCAACUCUUUAACUCUCCCUCUAUUUGUCCUCCUCUUCUCAAUGCUCCUUCAGGUCUCUCUCUAUCUAGAUUCCUCUCCACUUCAACAACACUCGAAUCCCCUAUCCCUCUCUCCACUGCCUCCUCCAUUGCCUCCCUCUUUGGCCCCCAACUCCAUGAUAAUGCUGCUUCUUUGCUAGCCCACAACCGCCUUCAAUUCCUCAGAUGCCC
rnacentral:misc_RNA from 1 species